UACAGAGGUCCCAAGCGUUGUUCGGAUUCAUUGGGCGUAAAGGGCUCGUAGGCGGCCAACUAAGUCGGACGUGAAAUCCCUCGGCUUAACCGGGGAACUGCGUCCGAUACUGGAUGGCUUGAGUUCGGGAGAGGGAUGCGGAAUUCCAGGUGUAGCGGUGAAAUGCGUAGAUAUCUGGAGGAACACCGGUGGCGAAGGCGGCAUCCUGGACCGACACUGACGCUGAGGAGCGAAAGCCAGGGGAGCAAACGGG
rnacentral:rRNA from 1 species